CCUUCGAUAGCUCAGUUGGUAGAGCGGUGGACUGUAGAGAAGGUUUUGUAGGUAGAAAUCCAUAGGUCGCUGGUUCAAAUCCGGCUCGAAGGA
rnacentral:tRNA from 1 species